GCGCCCUUAGCUCAGCUGGAUAGAGCAACGGCCUUCUAAGCCGUAGGCCGCGCGUUCGAACCGCGCAGGGCGUACCA
rnacentral:tRNA from 1 species